rnacentral:rRNA from 1 species
UACGUAGGGUGCGAGCGUUGUCCGGAUUUAUUGGGCGUAAAGAGCUCGUAGGCGGUUCGUCGCGUCGGCUGUGAAAUCCCGGAGCUCAACUCCGGGUCUGCAGUCGAUACGGGCGGACUCGAGUUCGGCAGGGGAGACUGGAAUUCCUGGUGUAGCGGUGAAAUGACGCAGAUAUCAGGAGGGAACACCGGUGGCGAAGGCGGGUCUCUGGGGCCGAUACUGACGCUGAGGAGCGAAAAGCGUGGGGGAGCGAACAGG